UCCAUUCACCUUUCAGAAUAAAUCUCACAUGAAUUCAUCAUCCAUGUUAUGGCAGAAUUUUUUUUUAAUACUGAUUUUUGAGGGGCGGGAACAUUGGUCAGGACCUACAGUCUGUCCUCCCUCUCCCAUCUCAAGGUGGGGCUCCCUGGGGGGCCAGGUGCCCUCCCUGGAGCCCACAGCAUGCGACAGGGUGGACAGCUCAGAGAAAGGGCUCAGAGAGUCUUGCAUGGACUAUGAAUUAAACAGGCAAGUAAAGGUCGAAACUUCAACUCUUACCAACGAUAGUUGGGAGUGCCUUCUCUAGGCUUUUCUUUUCUUUUUUUGACCAAAUUUAUUUUUUAUUGAAGGAUAAUUGCUUUAUAGAAUUUUGCUGUUUUCUGUCAAACCUUUCAAGUCAAAACUCCCCCAUCACUCCCCCAUCAGAGGACCGGGAAAGUCAUUUUACACAGCAGGGCCGUGGUUACAGCAUCCCACAGACACCAAGGGCGGCACAAAUCCAUCUAAGCCCAGAAUUAUGUGAGAACCUUUGAUUCUAGAAUGAAAGAGAACAGUUCCCCAUCUCUUCACUCGGGAAGAGAAACAGAGAAGAACUUGCACCAAGAAAGAGGCUCACGGGGCCGUAGCCCAGCAGACCGCACUGGAGCAGCCCCAGAUUGAGUGCACGUGGCUCCCAAGGCCCCAGGUGCCAGCACUGAGCUGUCAGGGACUCCACAUUUCCCCAAGAAGCUCUGCUCUCAGAUAAGGGCAGCUCUUAUCAGGAAGCGUGAGUGUGCCCAGUGCUGUUUACUUUGGCAGCAGCUCCCUUUCUCCUCUCUAAUUAACUGAGGCUGAUGAGUCCUCAGCAGCCCGGAGAUCAGAGGAGACUGCGUGAUCUCAGGCCCUUUCCCUCCUCUGGUCCCCCGGCUUGGCCUCCCUUGGCAUUUUUUUCAUUAACGUGGAGAGCAAAUUUCACCCACAUCCUGGCCUAGCAUCAAAUUCCAAAUCAGUGUUUUACUCUCAGAGCCCCUCUGUCAGCAAAAGUAUCUUUACAUCUCAUCAGACAUGAGCAAUGGUUUCCCCAUGGCCUCCACACGGAUGAGACACCCUUGUCCCAGCUCUCCUGCUACCUCUAGAAGAGCCUCCACCCCAUAUUCUAACCUGGCCUCCAGAACAUACGGCUAAACACUCCAUAAUGCAUGCGUGUGCACCAUCACGUCAUCAUGUCUGACUCUUUGUGACACCAUAGACUGUAGCCCACCAGGCUUCUCUGUCCAUGAGAUUUACCAGUCAAAAUACUAGCAUGGGUUGCCAUUCCCUUCUCCAGGGGAUCUUCCCAACCCAGGGAUAGAACCCAAAUUUUCUGCGUCUCCUGCAUUGCAGGUGGAUUCUGCCGAGCCAUGGGGGAAGCCCUCCAUAAUAAUCAACCUCAACUCCAUCAGAGGAAAUGGUCUCCGUGAGUCCCUGGUACCACUGUCAGAGCAAAGGCAAUCAGCAAGCCCACAGCUGAUCACCUAUCUUCUACAUUAACAUGAGGUAAUUGGCAGAGGACAGAGGCCACCACCCACGCACGUAAUUCACUUAGUACUUAGGUAGUCAGUUAUUCUGGUACCUCAAAAUUACUUUUCACCCUGAUUUUUUUUUAUUUUUAUUGUGUGUGUGUAUCUACCAACCAGGUCUUGCUUCAGAUCUUCUAAUUCAAAACAAAACCUUCAUAUAAUUAAUUUUUUCACUUUAGCACUAGGCUCAACUAAAGGGCACAUUGCCAGAAACUCAAAUGCUGUACCACAUUUCAUUUAAAAGGGUAGAUUUCCCCAAAACGUCCUUAAGACUAGUUCAUAGAUUAAAAACAGCUAGGGUCAGCUUCUGAUCAAAAAUAACCAGAGAGUGGGGUUACCCAUGACAUGUUUCCAUAGAUUCCUCGUAAAUACCUAUCAGAAAACAAGCAUCAUCCCAGCUGGGAAUUUCCUAGCUUCUUCCUGACGAUGAGAACCGUUUCUAUUACUGUAAAAUAAUCUGAUGAAACCAACAUGCAUUGGCAGCUGCCCACAUUCAUAGUAUUUCCUAUCUGGUUCUGUAAAGCGUAUUCAAGCACAUGGUCUCCCUCAGAUAGAAUCCAUCAUUUCCUACUUAUGCUGUUCACCUGGGGCUUAAAUCCUUUCUUUCAAGUGUCUGCCUCUUCCGAGAAACUUAGACUCAAGGGUGCUUCACUCCUACAGUGCACCUGAGUUUCAACAAAACUCUUGAUCAAAAUGGAAUAAAUCUUCUCCUUUGAUCAUUGCAACAGCCCUGGCUGGUGGGCAGAGGAGGAGGCUGGAGCUGGGAGUUGUAACUGCUAAGACUGGGACGCAAGGCAAAACCCAGACUCCUACCUUUCAGAUGUGCCAUCAGCGCCACGAGAAGCAAAACACAGCCCUGGACUUAGAAAAGAAAAAUGGACCAUUCAAUGCGUCACCGCUCACUGUGCAGGACUCCUGGGACAUGGGUCUGAUCCCUGGUCCAGGAAGAUGCCACAUGCCAUGGACAACUAAGCCCACCUGCCACAACUACUGAGCCCACAUGCCCUACAACACAUGCUCUGCAACACAAGAAGCCAUCACAAAGAGAAGCCUGUGCACUGGAACUAGAGAGCAGCCCCUGCUCACUGCAAAUAGAGUGCAACCAUAAAUAAGUAAAA